UACGUAGGGGGGCUAGCGUUGUCCGGAAUCAUUGGGCGUAAAGAGCGUGUAGGCGGUCCGGUAAGUCGGCUGUGAAAGUCCAGGGCUCAACCCUGGGAUGCCGGUCGAUACUGCCGGACUAGAGUUCGGAAGAGGCGAGUGGAAUUCCCGGUGUAGCGGUGAAAUGCGCAGAUAUCGGGAGGAACACCUAUGGCGAAGGCAGCUCGCUGGGACGUUACUGACGCUGGAGACGCGAAAGCGUGGGGAGCAAACAGG
rnacentral:rRNA from 1 species